CUAAAACUGUUGCUGCUGAGUGUGCAUCUUUGUGUAAGUGUGUCUGAGUGUGUUUAUGGAUGUGUGUGUGUGUGUGUGUGUGUGUAUUGGUGCUGGUGUGAGUGGACCAUACCACUGGGGUCAACUUGGGCCAGCUGCCUGGAGCUGAUGGAGUGAGCCACACACAUGCUGAACUGUGACCUUAAGAGAGAGAAGAGGAGGGAGUGAAGGGAAAGAAGAAGGAAGAGGAAAAAGGAAAAGGAGCCGCACACCGGCUUUCCUCCUGUAAAGGGAUCCUCCCUGGAAAGAUGGCCAGUGCAACCUCUCCGCCCACGGCCAGGCCUCACCUUGUGUGGGUGUGGGAGAGUCAGAUUGCAGCCUGUCAGGACCAGAUGCUCCAACCUACACAAACACACUUUAACCCUUCCUGCAUUGAUCUCUGCCUUCCUCUGUCUGAACGCUGAAAUCUCAGAUCAACAUUUUGUGCGUCUGCAGUCCUCAUGACCUCGAGGGACCGCAGAGAGGUCAGGGGUGAGGCAGCUACUUCUGCUCUUCACAACCUGACACUCCAGAAACAUGACAGCUGAGACCAGGAUGUGUGUUUGUGCACGUACAUACGUGUGUGUUCAUGUGUGCUAUUUGACACUCUGAAUAAAUAAACCGCAAUAUGUUCUGUGGAGAAACUGUUUAUUUGGAUGGAGGCUGACUGGUCUCUGAACA